AUGCACACGCCCGUGCUCGUAUGCACACACGUCACAUAUGCGCGCACGCCCACCACAUACACAUGCACACGCCUACACUCGUAUGCGCACAUAUCACAUACACAUGCACACACACCAUACGCACAUCCACAUGCACACAGCUCGUAUGCACACACAUCACAAGCGUACACGCCCACCACAUACACAUGUACAUGCACACACUCAUAUGCACACAUGUCACAUACACAUGCACGCACACCAUACGCACAUCCACAUGCUCGUAUACACACAUCACAUAGGUGUGCCUGCCCACCACAUACACAUGCACACACUUGUAUGCACACAUGUCACAUACACAUGCAUGCAGAGCAUUUACACAUGCACAUGAACACACUCGUAUGCACACACAUCACAUACGCAUGCACAUACUCAUAUGCACACACAUCACAUAUGCACGCACACCACAUACACAUGCACAUGCUCAUAUGCACACAUGUCACAUAUAUAUGCACGUACACUAUAUACACAUGCACAUCCACACUCAUGCAAACACUACAUACACACACACACCACAUAUACCACAUACACAUUCAUGCACACACCACACAUAUUACAUACAUACAUAUUCAUGCACAUUCACACACCAUAACACUCAUGCACACGGACACACACCACAAACAGCAUACACAAGUGCAUGCACAUGCAUGCACACACAUGCACACACCACAAUACCACACUCACUCAUGCAUAUUCACACACCAUAUACAGUCAUGCACACACACUCCCAUACACACUCAUGCACACACACCACAUACACACAUACCACAUGCACAUACGCGUACUUGCUUGCACACACACACCAUAUACACACCACAUGCAUGCACACACUCACAUGCACACACAGCACAGACACACUCACGCACACACACAGUGCCAUGCUCAUGUGUCAGGAUUGCACCGGGAGUCAGGUUUCCAGUCCAGGCCUCUCUGGCUCCGAGUCUGCUGUCUCGAGGGGCUCCUUCCCCCCUCCCAGCAGGAGCCGGGCCCCGGCAGCGGUUCCCAGUUCUCAGCCGCCCUGCCUACCUGCCGCAGGGCCGGCUCCCACCGCGGCCCCAGUAA
rnacentral:lncRNA from 12 species